UAGCACAUGCCCUGCAGAGAUGCAUACAGUGUUAUUCCUUGAGACGACUGUGAUGUGUGUGUAAAUUUUGGUGAGCUGUUGAACAUUCUAAGCCUGUCAAAAAGUACUUUGUUUGUCACAAAAACAACGCGUUGCCACGGCAACAGCAUUUCAUCAAAUAUCAAAAUCUUCACACUGUGGUAUUGUCUGGGGGUGAAGAAUUAGCUGACCAAUUUUCAGAAUGAUAUGACAAAGUUUGGAGCAAUGGUGUGUGCAAAUGUAAUUUCUAAACUGCUUGUUACCAAGAGGUGGCGCUAUGACUUUUUCUAAAUUUUUCAGUGUGGAUGUCCUCAAACUGGUUCUGGUGUCCAGCACAUGAAGUUUGGGGCAGAUAGGAUCCUUUGCAGCUGAGAUAUGAACACUUCAAUUUUCAUGGCGAAACAUCAAACUUUGCCGUCCCGCCACAGACACGCCUUUUCAUCACACGUCACCAUUUUUUCUGUGCUUCAUCAUCAAUGUGUUCAGGCUUAUGUCACAACAUCUGAGGUGAAUCUGAGCAACAGGCUAAGAAUAGUACAUGAAAGUGUAAAAAAUGUCAAAUUCUUGAUACCACAAGGUGGCGCUGUGACUGUGAAUGAAUCUUGCUGUAUGGAUGUCAUCGAGGCAGGUCUGUGAUCAUACAUGUAAAGUUUCAUUCAGAUUGGAGCAUGUUCAGGAGAGUUAGACAGCAUUUCCUGUUUCAUGGCGAAGGAUCAAAUUUCGACAGGCCGCCACGACCACACCCUUUAACUAUGGAGGAAGAUUUUGAUAACUUUUUCUCAGGAAGGCCGGCUGUAUGUACUGGCCAAAUUUCGGAUCGCUCAGACUUUCCCCCGAGGAGGAGUUCAUCAUAGAUUUUGUACAGUUAACGCAUGAUGGCACACUUCCUGUUGGGUUUAGAGCAUGGCUGUGAUUGACUUUUUUGUGUUUCCUGAUGUGCUGCAUAUGCCUCCCAAAUUUUGUAGCUCUCGACCAAAUUCCCUCUGAGUUGGCCUAAUACCACUUUUUAAAAUUUUGUAGGGGGCGCUAUGGAGUCCUUUUUGCACACACCUCCACAUGCCCUACAAAAUAUGAAAAUUUUCGCCAGUUUUGAUGUGUGUGCAAAUUUUCAUGACUUUUUGAGCAUGUUUAGGCCCUCAAAAAUGCAGUUGUUCUGAGAGACAAAUAAUAAUAAUAAUAAUAAUAAUAAUAAACCGUAGGGUUCCAAUAGGGUCCUACGGCACCGUUGGUGCCUUGGACAGCCGGUGCCCUUGCACCGCCUGUCCUCGGCACCUCGGUGCUCGGACCCUAAUAAUUAAAGCUGCGAGCAGCAUUGAACGGGUCCUCGCAUCCUUGCUGGUCGGCGUCCCCAAGCAUGUCCA